AUUGAACGCUGGCGGCAGGCCUAACACAUGCAAGUCGAACGCAUGGCGGACUUUUUAGUAAUGUCUGGGAAACUUGCUGAUAGAGGGGUAUAACUACUGGAAACGGUAGCUAAUACCGCAUACCAUCAGAUGUGCCCAGGUGGGAUUAGCGGUUGGGUGGGGUAACGGCUCACCAAGACGACGAUACCUAGCUGGUCUGAGAGGGUAACCAGCACCAUGUGAACUGGGACACGGUCAGGACUCCUACGGGAGUCAGCAGUGGGUAUGAGUGCUAAAUGGGCGAAAUCCUGAUCCAGCAAUGCCGGGUGUAUGAAGAAGGUUUUCGGGUUGUAAAGUACUUUUAGUGGGUAGGCGUUACCCGCAGAAGAAGCCACGGCUAACUCCGUGCCAGCAGCCGCGGUAAUUC
rnacentral:rRNA from 1 species